rnacentral:rRNA from 1 species
GAUGAACGCUGGCGGCGUGCCUAAUACAUGCAAGUCGAGCGAACAGACGAGGAGCUUGCUCCUCUGACGUUAGCGGCGGAAGGGUGAGUAACACGUGGAUAACCUACCUAUAAGACUGGGAUAACUUCGGGAAACCGGAGCUAAUACCGGAUAAUAUAUUGAACCGCAUGGUUCAAUAGUGAAAGACGGUUUUGCUGUCACUUAUAGAUGGAUCCGCGCCGCAUUAGCUAGUUGGUAAGGUAACGGCUUACCAAGGCAACGAUGCGUAGCCGACCUGAGAGGGUGAUCGGCCACACUGGAACUGAGACACGGUCCAGACUCCUACGGGAGGCAGCAGUAGGGAAUCUUCCGCAAUGGGCGAAGGCCUGACGGAGCAACGCCGCGUGAGUGAUGAAGGUCUUCGGAUCGUAAAACUCUGUUAUUAGGGAAGAACAAAUGUGUAAGUAACUAUGCACGUCUUGACGGUACCUAAUCAGAAAGCCACGGCUAACUACGUG